rnacentral:lncRNA from 1 species
GGCGGCCUCCACAAAGCCUUUGAAUUAUUGGUGGAGAAUUUUUGGUGGCCACAAUGUCAUAAACCUGAGUUUAAAAACUUUGAACAGAUUAUAUGCUGGCUGCGGCGUUGUGUCAUGGCCGUUGUAGGCAAGUACGGUUAACUGGCCUGUGGCGGGCCUGAGCUCGAACAUUCGUUAGGGUCUAAGGAAGGACAUGUUCACAUGUAGACGAAUCAGGGUUGAUUCAUGCGAAUUGGACUCUGAAUCGGAGCCAAAUGGAACCUACAUCGGAGACAAUUGGACCUAAAUCGGAAUUGGGGUCUGGGGGGGGUUCUCUUGGGGUAUGACUCGAGGUAAUUGAUGAAAACCUCCCCUCCGUUCCAAUAAACUGUUACUCAUAAUUACGUCUAUGAUGAUACAUUUAACAAUUUCCGGUUGAUAAAUUGCACAAAGCGCACGGAGCAAUCUUCGCCAAUAGUUGCAGAUAUGUAUAAGCCAGGCAAUAGAUUCCGUCGCCAGAACGAUAGAUAUAUUGUACUGUUCUUAGAUAGUGCUGGUUUGCCUUGGGUGGUGAUGGGACGCAGCCGUGGUGCAUCAGCUGGACGUGGUGGCAUCUCACGCUUUGUUGGCCGUGCGGCAAAUUGCAUAUGAACACGGUUCAUGAGGUCGACUCGAAUUGCACUUCCAGUCAUACUCCAAUUGGACUACAUGUGAUCCCCAACUAGCUCCUAAACAUACGUUAGGCUCCGAACCGUAAUUUUUGCGCUCGUACUAGGUGUGCUAGAUGCGAGUCCCCAAGGCGAGAGGCCACGGCCGCAAGUUUAUCUGGCCCGCUGACGGCGCGAAGUCGCGGUGCGGACGGAACUGCUGCCCCAUCUGUGGCCCCUCUGCCUCGGCAAAGGCCCCCCGACACACUCCGACAUUCAUCGGACACACCCGUAUGCGUUGCUGGGGCUGUAUCCAGCUUCAAUUCGACAUGGUGCCAUAGGCGGCAGUCUAGCGAGGACCUCUGGACAAGUCGAAUACGCAUGAGGAGCCCCUUAUGGUUGCGAUUCUAGGAUACCAAUACAUUAAGCAGCUAAUACAGAUAUCAUAUGUUCAGCUGUUUCGCCGUAUCCAUGUCACAUCA